GCACAGGGGUGAACAACAGCCAGGCGCCAGGCCCUGGAGCCGGUGGUCCGCGGAGGGAGACAGACCUCACCCGUGCCGACACCUUGACAGACCGAGUCACAGAGAGCCACAACGAGGACAGAGCGGAAGUGCUCAGAGACGUGGGAAUCCCCAAGUUCACGCAGCUCACGCACACUGCUGGACACGGGGACACAGUGAUGGCGGAGACAGACAAGUACCCCUGCGCUGGUGAGGAGCCCCUGUCCUAACGCGGAAAGUUCUUUUCAGACAGUAGUAAGUACCCAGGAGAAAAUGCGGCAGUCAGCACACGGAGGUGAAGGGGUCACUAAGGGGCCGGGGAACUUUGAGCAGAGAAGGAGCCAACCACGGGCAAGGUGGGAAGAGCUGGGGGGCAGGGCGGAGCAUGAGAGCCACCGUCCAGGCUCAGGGAGGAAGGCAGCCGGCUUGAUUUGUAUUCGCAGACUGGUACCAAGUCGCUGGGGGCUUUUAAGCAGGGGAGUAAGACCAGAGACAUUUCAGAGCCAUCUGUCCCCCUGUGAGGACAGUACAGGAAGCUAGCUCCCUAGGAGGCCCCUGUCCAGAGUCCAGAGAGGCCUUGGUGGCUGGGCCCGGGGAAGGAGGCAGGGGACUUGCGGGGGGUGGAGGAAAACCCGCGCCCAGCACCUGUUCGACCUGUGUUCACCCUCGUUAGUGACCCACUCGGGGACCCCGGGGGCUUCGGUGCAGGAGAAAGACAUGGGGACGGGCGGCAAGGAAGGGUGGCAGGUUGUAGUCAGGCACCCUGUCUGACAUCCCGACGGGGAGGAGUCUCGGGAGACGGCGGGGACAGCGUCUGCGGCGCCACCGCGGUGGACGUGCGCUCAGCCGGCGUGGGCGUGAAGGGCGACGGAAGCACCGCGUGUCACCCUGAGACACCCAGACACCCUGAGACCCUGAGACGUCCUGAGACGGGGAAGCAGCCCUCGCCAUCUCCCUCACCGCCUCCUGGUUCCCAGCUCCGCGCGGGGCACUGGGCUCCGGACCCGAUCACACCCGGCCCCUGCUCCUGGGAGGGGGGAGGUGGGUACCUCAGAGACGGCCGCUUGGCCCCCUCGGGAAGGGGAAGAGCCGCCGGGGGCCGAGGGAAGAAGGCUGGUCUUCAACCGAUCCUUCAGGAAACAGAACAAACAUAAUCAAGACUAUAAGCUGUUGGGCCUACUCUGGCAGGGCAUUGUUCUAGAAGAAAGAUCUCGUCGAACCUCCUGUCUACCUAGUACCUAUAUAGCGCCUACAGAGAGGGCGUUCCCUUCUCCCCGACCUGGGGUUCAGCAAUCUAUCCGAAGGGUUCCAAGGCCCACGUCCCCAUGUGCCAGUGGGGUGUCCUAAGUGACACGCCUCACCUCUCUGUGUCUGUAGUUGCCUCACCAGCACGACCCCGACCCCCUGGUUCUCUGUGUCAUCCCAGGACCAGCAGCGUCAGCAUUACUGGGAACCGGUUACAGAUGCCGAUUCCCAGGCCCCACCCCAGACCCACCGAACCGGAAACUCUGGGAUGGGGCCGAGGGAUCUGUGUUCUAAUGUGUCCCCUGCUGGUUCUGACACGUCCCCCAAGUUUGAGAGCCACCGUGCUGACCCAGCGGUUCAAGGCCUGGGCUCUACGUGGGAAUCACCUGGGGGAACUUCAGACAAAUGCCAACGAUCUCUUGACCUGAGUGGGUAGAGGAUUCAUGAAAAAACAGACGCCAGAUGCCUGGCACAUGGCUGGACCCACUAGACGGUGCUUUUCCUGAGAGGUGAGUGGGGGCCCCACUGAGCCUCCAUCCAAACCCUUCAGCUUCAAGAUCCAGACUGAUUCCUCCCGCCAUUGCAAUGCGUCCCCUUCAAAAAGGAGCAGAAAGACUUCUUCUCUCCAAGUUUCAAUCAGACCACUUACUCAUUAAAAGGCUCAGUUUUUUUUUAAUUAUUGAA